AACGAACGCUGGCGGCAUGCCUAACACAUGCAAGUCGAACGAGACCUUCGGGUCUAGUGGCGCACGGGUGCGUAACGCGUGGUAACCUGCCCUUAGGUUCGGAAUAACUCCCCGAAAGGGGUGCUAAUACCGGAUAAUGUCUUCGGACCAAAGAUUUAUCGCCUUUGGAUGGGCCCGCGUUGGAUUAGCUAGUUGGUAGGGUAAAAGCCUACCAAGGCGACGAUGCAUAGCUGGUCUGAGAGGAUGCUCAGCCACACUGGGACUGAGACACGGCCCAGACUCCUACGGGAGGGAGCAGUGGGGAAUAUUGGACAAUGGGCGAAAGCCUGAUCCAGCAAUGCCGCGUGAGUGAUGAAGGCCUUAGGGUUGUAAAGCUCUUUUACACGGGAUGAGAAUGACAGUACCGGGAGAAUAAGCUCCGGCUAACUCCGUG
rnacentral:rRNA from 1 species